UACGUAGGGUGCGAGCGUUAAUCGGAAUUACUGGGCGUAAAGCGUGCGCAGGCGGUUCUGAAAGUCAGCUGUGAAAGCCCCGGGCUUAACCUGGGAAUUGCGGUUGAAACUACAGGGCUAGAAUCUGGCAGAGGGGGGUGGAAUUCCACGUGUAGCAGUGAAAUGCGUAGAGAUGUGGAGGAACACCGAUGGCGAAGGCAGCCCCCUGGGUCAACACUGACGCUCAUGCACGAAAGCGUGGGGAGCAAACAGG
rnacentral:rRNA from 1 species